ACAGACAACUCAAACAAGUACGACUUAAAAUGUUUAUUGUACUUGUAUUGCUUCUUUUCUGCCAUACGAGAGGUGUAGAUGAAAUGCUUUGCUCUUCUGCCUUGCGAUUCUGUCCUCUUUUGCUUGCCAAUCAUCUGAAUCAGUUCUGCAGUAAAUAGUUAUGGAUUUUAUCGUGGUUACCUUGUCGUCAGUGAUGAUAAAUUUAUUUAUGUUAUGAUCAUAGCAGGGUGAAGAGGCAUCAGCCUUGGCUUCAACUGAAGGUGCAAAUGUGCUGGAUAGGACUAAUGAUAAAUCUAUUCCAGAGUCCAAUGCCCUGCCAGAUUUGUUUGAAGAAAACUUCAAAGAACUAAAGAAAUGGGUGGAUGUGAAAUCCUCCAAGUAUGCCACUCUAUUAGUGAUACAUGAGCGACGUUGUGGAAGGCUUGGAACUGCGCUUAAGGCAUUAAAUGACAUGAUUCAAGUGGAUGGUGAGGCUCCGAAGAAGAAGCUAUAUGAAUUGAAGCUGUCGUUGCUUGAUCAGAUUGGAUGGGGUCAUUUGGUGUCAUACAAGCGGCAAUGGAUGCAUUUCCGAUUCCCAGUGAGUCUACCGCUUUUUUAAGGUUGUGCAUUGUUUUGCAAGGUCGGGGGCAUUAUCUUGUGUAACCUGGUUUCCUAUGGAAAUCUUUUUGUUUUAGAUUGAUUUUUGCAAGGAUAAUUUCAAAAUACAAAUGGGAUUGCAUAACUAGAUAAUAUAACCUUUUUUCUUUUCCCCCCCUUUCUUUUUCCGGUGCUUUGUGAUCGUUGUUGCGUGAAUUUCCCUGAUGCCAAUUCGAUCAUUUCACAAGGAGAUGGUGGAAACAACUAUUAUUGUUUCUGCAAUUUGAAUU